UACGUAGGGGGCGAGCGUUGUCCGGAUUUAUUGGGCGUAAAGAGCUCGUAGGCGGUUUGGUAAGUCGGGUGUGAAAUCCCCGGGCUUAACCUGGGAAUGGCCAUGGAAACUGGCGAACUGGAGUGCGGCAGAGGGGGGUGGAAUUCCGCGUGUAGCAGUGAAAUGCGUAGAGAUGCGGAGGAACACCGAUGGCGAAGGCAGCCCCCUGGGCUAGCACUGACGCUCAGGCACGAAAGCGUGGGGAGCAAACAGG
rnacentral:rRNA from 1 species